GAGAGAUUGUUGAGGACAAAUGAGGAGAGGAAGAGAGAGAUUGUUUACGAUAAAUGUGGAGAGAGAAAGAGAGAUUGUUGAGGAUAGUGGGAAGAUGUAAGGUAUUUUUGGAAUAAAAGAAAAUAGUGAGGACACUAGUGGAAAAAUACUUUUCUAUAACGAACCUAUUAUGACGGAUAAAAAUUAUCCAUUAUCAUAGUG
rnacentral:lncRNA from 1 species